rnacentral:rRNA from 1 species
CUCGUAGGUGGUUUGUCGCGUUGUUCGUGAAGACUCACAGCUUAACUGUGGGCGUGCGGGCGAUACGGGCAGACUAGAGUACUGCAGGGGAGACUGGAAUUCCUGGUGUAGCGGUGGAAUGCGCAGAUAUCAGGAGGAACACCGGUGGCGAAGGCGGGUCUCUGGGCAGUAACUGACGCUGAGGAGCGAAAGCGUGGGGAGCGAACA